UUACUGACGCUAAAGCUCGAAGGUGCGGGUAUCGAACAGGAUUAGAUACCCUGGUAGUCCGCACGGUAAACGAUGGAUGCCCGCUGUUUGCGAUAUACUGUGAGCGGCCAAGAGAAAUCGUUAAGCAUCCCACCUGGGGAGUACGCCGGCAACGGUGAAACUCAAAGGAAUUGACGGGGGCCCGCACAAGCGGAGGAACAUGUGGUUUAAUUCGAUGAUACGCGAGGAACCUUACCCGGGCUUGAACUGCAGGAGAACGAUACAGAGAUGUUGAGGUCCUUCGGGACUCCUGUGGAGGUGCUGCAUGGUUGUCGUCAGCUCGUGCCGUGAGGUGUCGGCUUAAGUGCCAUAACGAGCGCAACCCUUUUCGUCAGUUGCCAUCAGGUGAAGCUGGGCACUCUGGCGAUACUGCCACCGUAAGGUGUGAGGAAGGUGGGGAUGACGUCAAAUCAGCACGGCCCUUACGUCCGGGGCUACACACGUGUUACAAUGGGGAGUACAGAGAGUCAACCGCCGGCAACGUCGGUUUAAUCAAGAAAGCUCUCCUCAGUUCGGAUUGGGGUCUGCAACCCGACCCCAUGAAGCUGGAUUCGCUAGUAAU
rnacentral:rRNA from 1 species